rnacentral:rRNA from 1 species
UACGUAGGGCGCAAGCGUUUAUCCGGAAUUAUUGGGCGUAAAGAGCUCGUAGGCGGUUUGUCGCGUCUGCCGUGAAAGUCCGGGGGCUCAACUCCGGAUCUGCGGUGGGUACGGGCAGACUAGAGUGAUGUAGGGGGAGACUGGAAUUCCUGGUGUAGCGGUGAAAUGCGCAGAUAUCAGGAGGAACACCGAUGGCGAAGGCAGGUCUCUGGGCUUUAUCUGACGCUGAGGCGCGAAAGCGUGGGUAGCAAACAGG